CAUGUGUAUUAAGAGGAUGUACCCCCAGCAGACGUCAGAUGUGUGACUACCUCCCUUGCUGAUUAAUUCCCUCCAUGAUCUUUUCUGACAGCUCGUGGACAGUAGGCCGGAGCUAAUCUGUCUGUGUAUGAUUUCUUUGGUUUGUCUGCAGUCUGUCGACACAACUUUUGUCUGCAGUCUGUCGACACAACUUUUGUGGCCAGUCUGUCGACACAACUUGUGUGGCCCCUGUGAUCAGCCACAUUUGGCCAUGUUUUAAACAAUUGACCUGGCAACCUGUGUAUCUGCUGCGGCAUGGCGUGGACCUCAAGUUUCUCCCCAGAAUUCAUGGAGGUUUUAACGUUGUUGACUGGCCGAGGUCUAGCCAGGCGUGAGACCUGGGCUACCAUUCGGCUCGUGCUCCUCACACUUCUGCUGUGUGCUCAGACGGUCAGCGCCACCUGGAGUGUGGGGGCGCUGGAGAGGUGGAAGGCGGAGCAGAUCCAGAAAUCUCCCAGGCCCCUAGAGACGGCCGAGCGACUGCGCCGCUCCCACAAGGUGGCGCUGUUCUACGGGAACCACGUGGAGCGCCAGAAGAACCGUGUGUGUGAGCGCAUCAAGUGCCAGUUCCUCCACUCAGGAUGUGUGGUCUACAGCAGCGACUCACCCCAGCCCUUCCGGUGCUUCAUCCUGCUGGCCCGGCUACGUCAGCACUACGUCGGCGACUGUCCCUACUUCUCGUGCGAGGGCUACAAUGGCGUCACAAAGUGUGUCAAGGACGUGCAAGUGUGCGAGAAAGGUCAAGGUAAAAUCUACGACUUCGGGCUGUGCAAGAAUUACGAGAAGUGCUGUCUGUUCCCGGAGACGACAGUCUAGCAGCCGACAGGGAUGGUGACGUCACGAGGGUCAAGGUCAGCAGGCAAGGUCAGAUUCUCUGUGACGACGCAUACAUAUGGGCAGCUGUAAUGAGAAAAUAUGGAUGGGA